AUGCACGCUGGCGGCGUGCCUAAUCCCUGCAAGUCGAGCGAACAGACGAGGAGCUUGCUCCUCUGAUGUUAGCGGCGGACGGGUGAGUAACACGUGGAUAACCUACCUAUAAGACUGGGAUAACUUCGGGAAACCGGAGCUAAUACCGGAUAACAUGUUGAACCGCAUGGUUCAACAGUGAAAGACGGUCUUGCUGUCACUUAUAGAUGGAUCCGCGCCGCAUUAGCUAGUUGGUAAGGUAACGGCUUACCAAGGCAACGAUGCGUAGCCGACCUGAGAGGGUGAUCGGCCACACUGGAACUGAGACACGGUCCAGACUCCUACGGGAGGCAGCAGUAGGGAAUCUUCCGCAAUGGGCGAAAGCCUGACGGAGCAACGCCGCGUGAGUGAAGAAGGUCUUCGGAUCGUAAAACUCUGUUAUUAGGGAAGAACAAAUGUGUAAGUAACUAUGCACGUCUUGACGGUACCUAAUCAGAAAGCCACGGCUAACUACGUG
rnacentral:rRNA from 1 species